rnacentral:rRNA from 1 species
AGUGAACGCUGGCGGUAGGCCUAACACAUGCAAGUCGAACGGCAGCACAGUAAGAGCUUGCUCUUACGGGUGGCGAGUGGCGGACGGGUGAGGAAUACAUCGGAAUCUACUUUUUCGUGGGGGAUAACGUAGGGAAACUUACGCUAAUACCGCAUACGACCUACGGGUGAAAGCAGGGGAUCUUCGGACCUUGCGCGAUUGAAUGAGCCGAUGUCGAAUUAGCUAGAUGGCGGGGUAAAGGCCCACCAAGGCGACGAUCCGUAGCUGGUCUGAGAGGAUGAUCAGCCACACUGGAACUGAGACACGGUCCAGACUCCUACGGGAGGCAGCAGUGGGGAAUAUUGGACAAUGGGCGCAAGCCUGAUCCAGCCAUACCGCGUGGGUGAAGAAGGCCUUCGGGUUGUAAAGCCCUUUUGUUGGGAAAGAAAAGCAGCAGGUUAAUACCCCGCUGUUCUGACGGUACCCAAAGAAUAAGCACCGGCUAACUUCGUG